rnacentral:misc_RNA from 1 species
GAUGAAGAACGUAGCGAAAUGCGAUACGUAGUGUGAAUUGCAGAAUUCAGUGAAUCAUCGAAUCUUUGAACGCACAUUGCACCUCUCGGUAUUCCGGGAGGUAUGCCUGUUCGAGCGUCAUUUGUACCCUCAAGCUCUGCUUGGUGUUGGGUGUUUGUUCCGCCUCUGUGUGUGAACUCGCCUCAAAACAAUUGGCAGCCGGCGUACUUGUUUCGGAGCGCAGCACAUUUUGCGAUCCAGAUCAACGUACAGCGGCAUCCAAGAAGCCUUAUUUAACGCUCUUGACCUCGGAUCAGGUAGGGAUACCCGCUGAACUUAAGCAUAUCAAUAAGCGAGGA